CUCCGCCUGCACCGUCUCCCCCCGCUUCAGCUGCUCCGCCACCGAGUGGGGCAGGAUUUGGUAGAGCAGAGCCUCAGCCUUGCGCUUCUCCUCCAGGUAGGCCUGGGUGCGCUCCUCCACCAGCUCCUCCAGGUUGUUGGCGUACUGCUCCAUGCGUGUCAGCAGGUUGUCCAGGAUGUUGCUGCUGCUCUCCCUGUUGAACUUGCGGAGCUGGACCUUGAUCUGGUUGAAGUCGGGGCGCUCCAGGACGUCCUCGGCCCAGCAGUGCUGCAUGAGCUGGCCCAGCUCCUCCAUGUGGCACCCCACGUUGGCCGAGGGGCGGAAGCUGGGGCACUCCCCACUCUUCACCCG
rnacentral:lncRNA from 1 species